rnacentral:rRNA from 1 species
GACGAACGCUGGCGGCGUGCUUAACACAUGCAAGUCGAGCGGUAAGGCCCUUUCGGGGGCACACGAGCGGCGAACGGGUGAGUAACACGUGGGUGACCUGCCCUCAGCUCUGGGAUAAGCCUGGGAAACCGGGUCUAAUACCGGAUAUGACUCCAUGACGCAUGUUGUGGGGUGGAAAGCCUUGUGCGGCUGAGGAUGGGCCCGCGGCCUAUCAGCUUGUUGGUGGGGNGAUGGCCUACCAAGGCGACGACGGGUAGCCGGCCUGAGAGGGCGACCGGCCACACUGGGACUGAGACACGGCCCAGACUCCUACGGGAGGCAGCAGUGGGGAAUCUUGCGCAAUGGGCGAAAGCCUGACGCAGCGACGCCGCGUGAGGGAUGACGGCCUGGU